UAAGGAUAUAGUUUAAUGGUAAAACAGUUGAUUUCAAAUCAAUCAUUAGGAGUUCGAGUCUCUUUAUCCUUGUUA
rnacentral:tRNA from 1 species